rnacentral:rRNA from 1 species
GCGUUGGAGGACGGCCCAUGGAUGUUUGACAAUGAUCUGGUGGUGAUGAUGGACUUCGUGCCAAGCAAGCGGAUUGAUCAGUAUGUGUUUGAGGAGGUGCCAAUUUGGUUCAGGGUGUUUGGGUUGCCGUUAGGAAAGAUGGAUGAAGACACGGCGAAGGACAUUGGAAAUCUAGUGGGGAAGUUUGUGGAGAUGGAUACAGGGGUAGAUGGGUCAGCCAUGGGCAGGUUCUUGUGGAUAAAGGUGCGGUUGCCGAUCAACAAGCCUCUAAUGAGGGGCGUCUAUCUGGAUGGGGAGGCGGAGAGUGAUGAAGAGAACAGUGUCAAGCAGAUUUUGGUAGUCCAGGACUCCCUCAAGGAGGAACGACCAUUUUGUCGCUUUGAGUUCGAGUACCUACCAGAUUUAUGUUACAUCUGUGGUAUGCUAGGGCAUGUUGACAAAGGGUGCUCGGUGAAACUGAAGAAGGGAGAGAAAGCACAAUUUGGAAGAUGGCUGAAAGCGGAUAUGGGUAGACGCUGGGGUGGCGAGGAAGGAAGGAACUAG